AAACAAUAUUUCAUUCAUCACCUCUCAGCCUUUUGACUAAGAUCAAGUGAAAAUAUUUCCUUAAAAGACGCCCAGGAGGAGACUCUGCUUUCUGUUUUUUGGAAGUAGGACAGAAGAAUGAGUAGUAUAAACAGCUAAAGUGACAUGGGGAAAUGGAGCCAAUGUCCCUUUUGAUGUUGCACCUGCUGAAAAGCUAGGUCUCAGGUGCCCUUUCCCAUCUUUGAUGACUGGGUGAGCAACUGAUCACGGGGAAUACAGACAACAGAAGGACAUUACCUGGGGUUUUGGUGGUGGUUGUUGUUUUUCUUGCAAAUGGAAACCUUUUUUGUUUGUUUGCUUGCUUUCUAAUAGCAAAGAAAAUGAUAAUCAUCUCAACUAUUCUAUGUGCUGGACUUGCUUUUCUUCUUUGGGGGAUUUUAAGCUUUCCUAAAAAAUUUGAAACUCCAAAGAUUUCUGAAAGCAAUCUGUGCACAGAGAAUAUCACUGACUGUCCAUAUGGCUGGGACCAGAUCAAAAACACUUGCUACCUCCAGUCUGAACAUGAGACAACGUGGAUCAGUAGCCAGGAAAACUGCAAAACCCAUUCUGCAUUUCUGGCGAAGCUUGACUCCAGGGAAGAGCUGGAAGCUUUGAUUCUCCACCUGAAGCCCUUUUCAUAUUGGAUUGACUUAAACAGAUACAAUAUAGACAUCUGGAGCUGGUCAAUCGAUAAGCUAGAAGAUGACUGGUCCCAUGUUCAAAGUAAUGAGAAAUGUACCUAUAUAGCUACCAAUGGACUUGGUAGUGCUGAUUGCAGUGAAACAAAAAGAUACAUUUGCAGCAAAAGCAGUGAAUGUCUUUAAGGAGCUCCCUCCCAGGUGAAACACACUCUUCUUUCCUUGUAUCAUAAAUUGGUAUAGGUGUAUUUUCUAUCCCUUCAAACAUAUUUUGAUUGAUGAAAAAUUAUAUCUUUUUUACCAGAGCAUGAUUGUAUUUUCAAUACAUAAGUUCUGUACAGGAAAAAAUACACUAAAAUCAAAGAGAAAAG